rnacentral:snRNA from 1 species
GGAUGUGUGGGCGAUCUGGCUGCAACAUUGGUCAUUGAUCGCCAGGGUUGAUUCGGCUGAUCUGGCUGGCUAGGCGGGUGUUUCCUUCCUCCCUCACCCCCCCAUGUGCGUCCCUCCCGAAGCACAUGUUGGUUGAAGAGGACAAUCUUCCCUGAUAGAGGAGGACCAUUCUUCCAUCAAGGGUAUACAAGUAGCUGUUCUUCCCUUCUAGAAUCUCCAAACAAGCUCUCAAGGUCCCUUUGUAGGAGAAUGUAGGGUAGUCAAGCUUCCACGACUCCAGACACCUCCAAAUGAGGCACUUCAUGUGGCAGUCUGCCUUUCUUA